rnacentral:rRNA from 1 species
GAUGAACGCUGGCGGCGUGCCUAAUACAUGCAAGUCGAGCGAACAGACGAGGAGCUUGCUCCUCUGGCGUUAGCGGCGGACGGGUGAGUAACACGUGGAUAACCUACCUAUAAGACUGGGAUAACUUCGGGAAACCGGAGCUAAUACCGGAUAAUAUAUUGAACCGCAUGGUUCAAUAGUGAAAGACGGUUUUGCUGUCACUUAUAGAUGGAUCCGCGCCGCAUUAGCUAGUUGGUAAGGUAACGGCUUACCAAGGCAACGAUGCGUAGCCGACCUGAGAGGGUGAUCGGCCACACUGGAACUGAGACAUGGUCCAGACUCCUACGGGAGGCAGCAGUAGGGAAUCUUCCGCAAUGGGCGAAAGCCUGACGGAGCAACGCCGCGUGAGUGAUGAAGGUCUUCGGAUCGUAAAACUCUGUUAUUAGGGAAGAACAAAUGUGUAAGUAACUAUGCACGUCUUGACGGUACCUAAUCAGAAAGCCACGGCUAACUACGUG